CAUCCACUCUCCCUCCCUCUCUGAUUUCCCAAAAUUGAUCUAGGUCCUGAUCAAGGGUUUGGGCCAUGGAAGCUGCUGCUGGGCUAAGGGGUCACCCAAAUUGGUCUCAAAAUUACAGAUAAGUGCUCCAAAUAAACUCAAUCCCCCCACCCCUCUACUACUACAGCCCUAUGCAUGGUUGCUGCUCUGUUAUUGGGGUUCAGAUAGUAUGAUAGGUUACUGAAGGUUGUGUGUUAGUAUGAUAGGCUUGCCUCUCCCAUUCAGUCACCACCAUCCCUGGGGUAUUUAGUUGAAGAGGCACUGAACUAGAGACCUUAAAGGAUUGUGUUGUGUUACUUUUGAUUCUACUACUACCAGUUUAGUAUAAUUUUGAUAGAAAUUCAGCGACUGUGGUGUUUUAUUACAUUGGGUGAUGACUCUGGUAAAAAAAACGUGUAGAUAAGUAUUCUAUUAUUCUGUCCUUAUGCAAAGUAAUUCUGUUACUGCAUGGUGCUUCAUUCUAAAUGAUUAAUGAUUGGUAGAAUCUUAUGUGAUUAGAAUGAUUAAACUUAUGCCAUCCUGCACAAAACUUGCUGAUUUUUGCAACUCCAAUUCAGAACCUUUAUAGCCUCGUGCUUCAUUCUGAAUGAUUAAUGAUUGGUAGCCUAUAGAUGAAUGCAGAGGUUGGAUGCUAGAUUCUGAUUUGAGGACAUCAAUACAUCAACUGACGAGCACCUACUAUAGGAAUUGAGGGUCGGAUCAACCAGUGUCUAUCCUUUUUUGCCUGAUAGUUUAGAAAUAUUUACUGUGAUGUCUGGUAGGCCCUUUAGGUGAUUUUCUUUUCCUUGUUUAGCAGGAGCCAGCUCUGACUGGCUCAAGGUCGACGGCGACGGCUGCACCCUUCCGCUUGCGUACUCUAAGUGACUUGUGCAAGCAUUCUAUCUUUUUUUAGAGAGCAUCCAGUAAGGUCACAGCUAUGUAUAGAACUGAUUUCUCAGGAAGAAGGGAGCUAUCAGCGAGGCAAAUGCACACAGUUAGCUGAUGAGGGUUCAGGAAGGAGGAUCACAUUGGCCCAAAAGUAUGGAGUCAAACGAUGAAUUCAAUCAGUUUGUAAUGAAUGAAUUGAUUGAUCCCUCCUCUUCGGAUGAUGAGAAUGAUCUAUUUUUUGGUACGAUGCACAUGAUCAUUGAGGAUUCGGUUAACCAUCCGGGUCGAAUUGGUUCUGUCGAGGGACAUGAUGUGGUGGAUCAUGAAAGACUGUCUGGCAUAGACUUCUUUACAAAGACUAUUUUUCAGAGAAUCCUACAUUCCGAGCAAAUACUUUUAGACGCAGGUUUCGGAUGAGGCGACCUAUAUUUCUUCAUAUAAUGAACACUGUUGAGGAACAUGAUGACUAUUUUGUGUAAAAGAGGAAUGCAACCGGUGUGCUUGGACUAUCUUGUCUGCAGAAGGUCAUAGCAGCUUUUCGGAUGUUAGCUUAUGGAGUACCAGCUGAUGCUUUGGACGAGUACAUUCGUAUUGGUGAGAGUACUGCUUUAGAAACUUUGAGAAAGUUCGUAGUAUCUAUUGUUGAGGUUUUUGGACCCGAGUACAUGAGAUUGCUUAAUGAACAAGAUACCGCUAGGUUACUUGCAAUUGGAGCGACCAGAGGAUUUCCUAGUAUACUUGGGUCCAUAGAUUGUAUGUAUUGGAACUGGAAAAAUUGUCCUACUGCAUGGCACGGGAUGUACAGGGGAUAUAAAAAGGAGCCUACAAUUAUACUGGAAGCAGUUGCAUCUAAAGAUCUAUGGAUAUGGCAUGCAUUCUUUGGUAUGCCUGGUUCACACAAUGACAUAAAUAUGCUUCAAAGAUCUUCUAUAUUUGCAAGGCUUGCUGAGGGGGAAGGUCCACAAGUUAAUUACAACAUCAAUAGACAUGAUUAUUCAAUGGGUUUAUUAUCUAGCAGAUGGCAUAUACCCAACAUGGGCAACUUUUGUUAAGACUAUUCCAGAGCCACAAGAUAAUAAGAAAAAAUAUUUUGCAAAGGCACAAGUAGCGUGUCGAAAGGAUGUUGAGAAGGCAUUUGGAGUUCUGCAAUCUCGCUUCACUAUUGUUCGUGGGCUGGCUCAUUUGUGGGAUGAAGACAUGCUCCAUAACAUUAUGAUGGCUUGCAUCAUAAUGCAUAACAUGAUUGUUAAAGAUGAGCGAGAUGAGUACGGGGGACAAUAUGAAUACAACUUUGAUGAUAUGGGACAAUAUGUUUGCAACUGCGACGACAUGGGAGAAAGAGUGAUAGCCUCCCAUAAUGUUGCACUAGAGCUAGAUGCUUUCAUUCAGAAUUACAAAAAUAUCAAGAACAAGGAAACCCACACUCAGCUUAAGGCGGACCUAAUCGAGCACUUGUGGCAGAACCAUCCAGAUUUAUACAAAAUUAAUUAAUGAUUCAGAUUUUUGUGUAGUCCACUUAAAUUUUAUUCGACAAUAUUAUACUCAUAUUUAUGCAA